AUUGAACGCUGGCGGCAGGCCUAACACAUGCAAGUCGAGCGGAUGAAGGGAGCUUGCUCCUGGAUUCAGCGGCGGACGGGUGAGUAAUGCCUAGGAAUCUGCCUGGUAGUGGGGGAUAACGUCCGGAAACGGGCGCUAAUACCGCAUACGUCCUGAGGGAGAAAGUGGGGGAGCUUCGGACCUCACGCUAUCAGAUGAGCCUAGGUCGGAUUAGCUAGUUGGUGGGGUAAAGGCCUACCAAGGCGACGAUCCGUAACUGGUCUGAGAGGAUGAUCAGUCACACUGGAACUGAGACACGGCCCAGACUCCUACGGGAGGCAGCAGUGGGGAAUAUUGGACAAUGGGCGAAAGCCUGAUCCAGCCAUGCCGCGUGUGUGAAGAAGGUCUUCGGAUUGUAAAGCACUUUAAGUUGGGAGGAAGGGCAGUAAGUUAAUACCUUGCUGUUUUGACGUUACCAACAGAAUAAGCACCGGCUAACUUCGUG
rnacentral:rRNA from 1 species